CAGCACCCUAAUCACUCACCUGCCUGCCAUCAACUCAUCACCUGCAGCCUACAAAUGUUUGGACUCCACUCGGCGCAAUCGCCAGAUCGUUUCCCAGAAUUCUAGCAGCUUUGUUCCCUACCUGCCGUGUGUACCUGCCUCAGCCUGCUAGCCACAGCCUGCUAGACUCAGCCUGCUAUCUUCGGCCUGCUAGCCACAGCCUGCUAGACUCAGUGUGCUCUACUGGACUGCAAAGCCUAGGACUACAAGCUGCCUCAUUUCCCUCAGAGAUCUUCAACAGCUUUUCUGAUGGGAUGAGUGUGAUGCUACGUGAACCCGAGUGGAUGUACAUUUCGAUGUGCAACUAAAACAAAGUCACAUAAUGCCGGAAGAAAACCAGGACAAAGUGAGAUUUAUGUUUGCAUCAAAGAGUAAAAAUAAACUGGGAUUGUUUUGUUUACUGUACUUCAUAUCACAAAAUCAACGUCUUCCAAACUAAUGAAUAAUAAUAUUUUUUGUUGACCAUAUGUAUGUUUUCUUUGACUUUUUUUAUAGUAUUCUAAAUGCUCUCAUUUGAUCAAAUCGAUGAUUUCUGUGUUCCUGUUUUUCUCCUGCCUAGUAAUCGCCAUAUCAAUAUUUUAAGUAUAACAAAAUUGUAAAAUGGUUCAACUUGAUUGUGAAUACAUGAUUUAAGAACUAAGAGCUGUGACUUUCUUCAAAAAAUGCUUUAAUUAAUUUGAAGCAUAGGUAGAUUUUCUCUCCACCAAAUACCCCAAAUAAUAUUUACAUAAUUAUUAUUUAGUAACGCUAUUCA